rnacentral:rRNA from 1 species
UACGUAGGGCGCAAGCGUUGUCCGGAAUUAUUGGGCGUAAAGAGCUCGUAGGCGGUUUGUCGCGUCUGCUGUGAAAACCUAAGGCUCAACCUUGGGCUUGCAGUGGGUACGGGCAGACUAGAGUGCGGUAGGGGUGACUGGAAUUCCUGGUGUAGCGGUGGAAUGCGCAGAUAUCAGGAGGAACACCGAUGGCGAAGGCAGGCCACUGGGCCGCAACUGACGCUGAGGAGCGAAAGCAUGGGGAGCGAACAGG